AGUGAACGCUGGCGGUAGGCCUAACACAUGCAAGUCGAACGGCAGCACAGUAAGAGCUUGCUCUUACGGGUGGCGAGUGGCGGACGGGUGAGGAAUACAUCGGAAUCUACUUUUUCGUGGGGGAUAACGUAGGGAAACUUACGCUAAUACCGCAUACGACCUACGGGUGAAAGCAGGGGAUCUUCGGACCUUGCGCGAUUGAAUAAGCCGAUGUCGGAUUAGCUAGUUGGCGGGGUAAAGGCCCACCAAGGCGACGAUCCGUAGCUGGUCUGAGAGGAUGAUCAGCCACACUGGAGCUGAGACACGGUCCAGACUCCUACGGGAGGCACCAGUGGGGAAUAUUGGACAAUGGGCGCAAGCCUGAUCCAGCCAUACCGCGUGGGUGAAGAAGGCCUUCGGGUUGUAAAGCCCUUUUGUUGGGAAAGAAAAGCAGCAGGUUAAUACCCCGCUGUUCUGACGGUACCCAAAGAAUAAGCACCGGCUAACUUCGUG
rnacentral:rRNA from 1 species